GGGCCAUAGCUCAGCUGGUUCGAGCGCACGCCUGAUAAGCGUGAGGUCGAUGGUUCGAGUCCAUUUAGGCCCA
rnacentral:tRNA from 1 species